UAUUCUGCCCCAUGGGGAAGGAUGAGAAGCUUCGACUAAGGUUCGACUCGAGCGAAGCGAGAGAACGUUGCCGCAGGCAAAGGCCCGAAG
rnacentral:sRNA from 1 species